rnacentral:rRNA from 1 species
CAAAUGACUCUCGGCAAUGGAUAUCUCGGCUCUUGCAUCGAUGAAGAACGUAGUGAAAUGCGAUACUUGGUGUGAAUUGCAGAAUCUCGUGAACCAUUGAGUCUUUUAACGCAAGUUGUGCCCGAGGCCUUGUGGCCGAGGGCACGCCUGCUUGGGCGUCAUGG